CCUACGGGUGGCUGCAGUAGGGAAUCUUCCACAAUGGGCGAAACCCUGAUGCAGCGACGCCGCGUGAGUGAGGAAGUAUUUCGGUUUGUAAAGCUCUAUUAGUAGGGAAGAAUGUGUGUGUAGUUACUAUACACACUCCAGCUAAUUACGUGCCAGCAGCCGAGGUAAUACUUAGGGGGCAAGCGUUCUCCGGUUUUACUGGGCGUAAAGUGAGCGUAGACGGUAUAGCAAGUCUGAUGUGAAAACCCGGGGCUCAACUCCGGGGGGGCAUUGGAAACUGUUGAACUAGAGGGUCGGAGAGACAAGUGGAAUUCCUAGUGUAGCGGUGAAAUGCGUAGAGAUUAGGAGGAACACCAGUGGCGAAGGCGGCUUUCUGGACUAUGACUGACACUGAGGCGCGAAAGCGUGGGGAGCAAACAGGAUUAGAUACCCCGGUAGUC
rnacentral:rRNA from 1 species